GUUGUGGGGGCUGUUAUGGUGUCUAUUGAGUUUAGUUUUAACCUGCAAGGCCAGUAAGGAUGACGGAGUGACGGAGUAUCAGCGCCAUCUGCUGGAUAGAAUGUAAAACUGUCUUUAAAACUCCAGUCCUUUCAGUUUUCGGUGUGUCCGUCACUUCACCAUCCCGAGGGUCCAGGAGGGUCCAGACCCAGCAGCUCUGCCGCUGCUCUACAAGAGACUUUUACACUGUUAAAAUCUGCUGUUGUUAGACCGGAGUUCCGUUUCAUCGACGGCCUAAAAGUACUUUUCCGAUUAGUGUCAGUCAGUCAGACCAGAGCAGCGUCCAGUUCAUUUAUUCUGAUGAGGGUUGACCGCCCCUCUGACAACAUGACCACGCCCCCUGACGACGGCUGUGUCCCAGCCCGCCCUCUACCAAACCAAGUACUAUAUAAAAGAGCAGUCCGGAGAGGCCAUGAGCUGAACUAAAAUAUUCUAGAUUCUUAUUCCAGACCUUCCGGUUGCAAGACUGGUUUCCUGACCUUCAGCCCACGACUGCCCCGACGCUAGUGUGGAAGAGAGACUGCUUAGUGGCCCAAAGGACUUGGUGUGGAGAGCAGUGGCCUGCAGUAUUCUACACACUGCUGGAGGAUUGGGACUGGACAGGGCCUUGUUUUUAAUGGACACUAAGGUGCUGGACAUUGUCGGCUUGCCGAUGUUUUAUUGUGGACUUUUUAGAGUUUUGUCCCUCUUUAGCAUGUCCAGGAUUGGCGACACCUACCUGGCUUCUGGAGGAACCUCUGGUCUAUGGGGCUCGACUGGACAUCACCAGAAAGACCUCUGCUGCGCUGGCCAGGGUUCUGAUCUCCUCCAGUAUCCAGACACUUCGUCAGGUGGUUGGGGUUGCAGGACCCGGGUUGGACGGCGUGGAGAACCUGGCGGUGCGAUUGGGUGUGAGGUGCUUAGCCCUAAUGAAGAGGAUCCUUUCCCCGGAGUCUUCAUCACCCCUGACCUACAGGACUGUCAGGGCCCCCUCCUGGACUGUGAGGAGGACCGGGGUCUGGACCUGUCCUCAGUUUCCGGAAAAAUGCUGUACAGGACGUGUGUGAAAUGUUUUAAUAAGAAAAAUCUCAUGAGCAGAGCUGAUACGCCGUGGCGCCAUGCUCUAGGCCUCAGCCCCUCAGUGCUUUUGUUUUGAUGCGUUGUUUUAGGCUACGUCCCCUUUUUACUCUGCUGAGUUCUGAUCUUUACACCCCACACUUUUAUUCUUGGUUGUAGAGAGAGAGGUUCAAGUGUCAGCUGCUGAAUUUUGUUCUCGGGCAGGCUAAGCUGGCGGUGUACAUCACCCGUAAAAACCAAGUGGGGCGAGCAGCUGACACUGACGUCACCAGAACCCUCUCUAGACGGGUCAGAUCAAGAGUUUUAAUUGAUUUUAAUUAUUCCAAAUGUAUGAGUGAUCUGGAGACCUUUAUGUCUGCGUGGUGCUGCGGGGAGGCUGUGUGCUCAGUCUGAGAAGACCAGCUCUGCUUUGCACCGUGUUUUAUAUGAAGCUUUUAAAGGUUCCACUCAUUUAUUGGCUUA